UGUAAGCCCAUCACCCAACUUCCCUUCCUAGCUUCCUCACGACCGUCGAUAUUGUUUCGCCUCUUCCAUUUCUCCAUAUUGAUUUCUGCAAAUCCGUUUAUUUGGAGUUACGACGAUCCAAUAUCAAAUCACUCAAUCUUUCUUAACUCUUAUCUUCAUACGCGAUUCUAUCCUUCCACCUCCCUUAACUCCUAUCUUCAUAAGAGACAUAGAUAGGUCGAUGAGGAGCUGCAGAGGCAGAGAGGAAGCUCAAAAAAAAAAACAGAAGAAGAGGCCUCAGAGCGAGACGAGUGUUUUCACAGAGAGAAGCCGCUAGAAUGUGACAAGAGACAGCACUUCCUUGGGAGAAAAAUCUGAGAAAGGAUCUCUACACAAAGAUGAAUCGACUGUGGUGAACUAAACACAACAUUGGACGACCCUCAGCUUUCAUCAGUGGCAGGUGCAUAUCAGUAAUCAGCUCAUUAGUUCACAGACUCUCAAGCCAAUCCAUAAAGGAACGUGGAUUUCAGAAUUUAUUUGUCAAAAAUACAGAUAAUCACAUUCUGAUUGCUGAAGCAGGAGCAAUCCCUGUUUUGAUUAACCUUUUAACCUCACAGGAAUUCCGACCCAAUACUUGCAUCAUCAGCCUCUCUAUAUGACAACAACAUAUGGCUGAAGUCACUUCGGUAGUUCAAGUCCUUAGAUCUAAAACCAUGGAAGCAAGAUAAAAAAAGCAGCAGCGUUUGUGACGUCAAACAUUUGGAUGAAGCUCUCAAACGAUUUACAUCUAUUCGGAUCCAACUGCUUUCUCCCGUAGAAAAGUCAUCAGCUGGGCAAGGUUAAUUAACCACUCAGUUGAAACAUAAGGAUCUCUUUCGUGUUGAUCGAUCAUAACCUGAGCUUUUUAUAAUUUUUCUUGUGAGAAGCCAAUGGAGUAUGGAAAGAAAUUAACCAAUCCUUAACACUUAAUAAUCAACUCGACUAUCUCCCUCCUUUGGUUGUGUACGGUAUUUUAUUUAUUUAUGAAAAAUAUUAUUCUGAUUAGUCUAGACGUUUUCUUUACCAUGUCACUGAAGCUUGAUACUGAGAGUUAAAAUAAAGCAGAGAGGCAGAGCAAAAGAGAAUUGUGAGGCUGAAGCAAGCAAAGACAUACAUUGUCCAGCUAAAAGCUAGCGAAUCAAAGCGGAGGCUGAUUGGUGGAUUAUUUGUAUGUGCAGGUUGCAGAGUUUAAACACCUCCUCCGCGUUAAGCUAACACCAAAGAAUGAAUACUUAUGUUUACCUGUUGUAAGCAAUGACAUAACUCUCAAGCUUCCAAAAGAGUAUGAUACUACAACCGCUUGGUGUUUGUGCACCAGUAUUGGAGGGUUCCUAGGUCAUCAGUCUUAUAUGCUUGCUCCAACGGGAUUGUGCAUUGGUGGCACAAAGUACAUGAUAAUCCAGUGAGAGCCAAAUGCUGUCAUUCGAGGGAAGAAAACAUUACUGUUUCUGAUGAAUCUCUUGCCUUUUCUUUGGUAAAAAAUCUUUCGGCAGUUGUUUUUAAUUAAUUUGUGCUACUUUUUGCUUUACAUUGUUGGGAUCUGGUGGUGUUUCAGUCAAGAAGACCACCCAACCUUUAGUCUUUUCUGUGACAAGCCAAUGACUCCUGGAAAAUGUUAUAUGGUUGCACAGAGGCUUGGUGACUACCUGAUUGAAUCAGGGCUCUGAAACUCAAGCUGCUGCUAUGUUCAUGACACCAAUAUUGUCUUCAUAUUGAGAGGAAAACUAUUUAUAUUAUGAAAUGUGAUCGGUCAUUUUAAUAUUCAAACUAUGUCUUACCUUCUAUCAUGUUAUGGAUCUCGGGAUUGUAUGAUUCUAAAGCAUUCUGGUAUUGUCUC